CUUGGAUCGUACCUGAUCCGAGGUCACAUUCAGAAGUUGGGGUUUUACGGCGUGGCCGCGACGAUUACCAGUAACGAGGUGUAUGAUUACAACCCUAUGGAACCUCGACGUGACCCCCAAUCGAUUUGGGGAACGCGGGUUACCGCGAGUCCCAACACCAAGCUGAGCUUGAGGGUUGAAAUGACCCUCGAACAGGCAUGCCCGCCAAAAUACUGGCGGGCGCAAUGGGCGUUCAAAAAUUCCAUGAUUCACUGAAUUCUGCAAUUCACAUUACUUAUCGCAUUUUGCUGCGUUCUUCAUCCAUGCCCAAACCAAAAAAUCCGUUGUUGAAAGUUUUGAUUUAUUUGUUUGUUUUACUCAAAAGUUCCACUAAAAACAAAAUUUAGGGGCCCCGGGGGGGCCGUCCCGUUUUACGGGGGGCGGGCUGAUCCCCCCAGGCAACGUAUAGGUAUGUUCACAGGGGUUUGGGAGUUGUAAACUCGGUAAUGAUCCCCCCCCAGGUCCCCCCCCACGGAAAAAUACGAGAUC
rnacentral:misc_RNA from 1 species